UACGGGGGAUGCAAGCGUUAUCCGGAUUUAUUGGGUUUAAAGGGUGCGUAGGCUGUAAGGUAAGUCAGCGGUGAAAUGCCCCCGCUCAACGGGGUGAAGUGCCAUUGAUACUGCCUUGCUGGAAUGCGGAUGCCGUGGGAGGAAUGCGCGGUGUAGCGGUGAAAUGCAUAGAUAUCGCGCAGAACUCCGAUUGCGAAGGCAGCGUACCGGCGCCAGACUGACGCUGAGGCACGAAAGCGUGGGGAUCGAACAGG
rnacentral:rRNA from 1 species